rnacentral:rRNA from 1 species
AGUGAACGCUGGCGGUAGGCCUAACACAUGCAAGUCGAACGGCAGCACAGUAAGAGCUUGCUCUUACGGGUGGCGAGUGGCGGACGGGUGAGGAAUACAUCGGAAUCUACUUUUUCGUGGGGGAUAACGUAGGGAAACUUACGCUAAUACCGCAUACGACCUACGGGUGAAAGCAGGGGAUCUUCGGACCUUGCGCGAUUGAAUGAGCCGAUGUCGGAUUUGCUAGUUGGCGGGGUAAAGGCCCACCAAGGCGACGAGCCGUAGCUGGUCUGAGAGGAUGAUCAGCCACACUGGAACUGAGACACGGUCCAGACUCCUACGGGAGGCAGCAGUGGGGAAUAUUGGACAAUGGGCGCAAGCCUGAUCCAGCCAUGCCGCGUGGGUGAAGAAGGCCUUCGGGUUGUAAAGCCCUUUUGUUGGGAAAGAAAAGCAGCAGGUUAAUACCCCGCUGUUCUGACGGUACCCAAAGAAUAAGCACCGGCUAACUUCGUG